AUUGAACGCUGGCGGCAUGCUUUACACAUGCAAGUCGGACGAGCGGCGAACGGGUGAGUAACGCCUCGGAACGUACCGUGUAAUGGGGGAUAACUGCUCGAAAGGACAGCUAAUACCGCAUACCAUCCGAGCUGCCGAUGUGUGAUUAGCUGGUUGGCGGGGUAAAGGCCCACCGAGGCGACGAUCAGUAGCGGGUCUGAGAGGAUGAUCAGCCACACUGGAACUGAGACACGGGCCAGACUCCUACGGGAGGCAGCAGUGGGGAAUAUUGGACAAUGGGCGCAAGCCUGAUCCAGCCAUGCCGCGUGUGUGAAGAAGGCCUUCGGGUUGUAAAGUACUUUUAGCGAGGAGGCGGUACCUGCAGAAGAAGCACCGGCUAACUACGUGCCAGCAGCCGCGGUAAUUC
rnacentral:rRNA from 1 species